UCAAGAGCAAAGGGGAUCUAAAUCCGAUAAAGGGAAGGAAAAGGUGGUCGAAUAGCCAUCGAAAUCGUUCUACAACAUCCGAGAUUUUGGCUCGUCAGCUAUCGGACUCGGGAUUUUUGGAAGUCGAAGUCUCCCACACUAUCAAAGCCCCCUUUUGGUACAAAUUUUGGUUGAACUUUGAAAUGGCAUGUAUAGGACUACUCUUUCGUUUGUUGGUCAUAGGCCCCUUUGAUUUUGUAUAAAUUUGGAUAGCCAUGCGAAAAUGGCUUAUAUAAACUUUGGCAUGCUAUCAUAAUCAUUUUGUAUGUUGUUCAUUAAGAGGUAUGGAAAUGUUUGGAAACGAUUAGCCAUUGGAAUGGUUAAUCAUGAUCA